rnacentral:rRNA from 1 species
AACGAACGCUGGCGGCAGGCUUAACACAUGCAAGUCGAACGCAUCCUUCGGGGUGAGUGGCAGACGGGUGAGUAAAGAGUGGGACCGUGCCUUUCAGUUCGGGAUAACCCAGGGAAACUUGGGCUCAUACCGGAUACGUGCGAGAGCAGAAAGAUUUAUCGCUGACGGAUCGGCCCGCGUCUGAUUAGCUAGUUGGUGGGGUAAUGGCCAACCAAGGCGACGAUCAGUAGCUGGUCUGAGAGGAUGAUCAGCCACAUUGGGACUGAGACACGGCCCAAACUCCUACGGGAGGCAGCAGUGGGGAAUAUUGGACAAUGGGCGCAAGCCUGAUCCAGCCAUGCCGCGUGAGUGAUGAAGGCCUUAGGGUUGUAAAGCUCUUUCGUCCGGGACGAUAAUGACGGUACCGGAAGAAGAAGCCCCGGCUAACUUCGUGCCAGCAGCCGCCGUAA